UACGUAGGGUGCGAGCGUUGUCCGGAAUUAUUGGGCGUAAAGGGCGCGUAGGCGGUGCGGUAAGUCUGCAGUGAAAUCUCUGGGCUCAACUCAGAGUCUGCUGUGGAAACUGCCGUGCUUGAGUGUGGGAGAGGUGAGUGGAAUUCCCCGGUGUAGCGGUGAAAUGCGUAGAUAUCAGGAGGAACACCGGUGGCGAAGGCGGGUCUCUGGGCAGUAACUGACGCUGAGGAGCGAAAGCGUGGGUAGCGAACAGG
rnacentral:rRNA from 1 species